GUGAAGACAGCAGGAGAGUGGCAAGACCAUUUUGGUCACCGCCCGCCGAAGAAGUAAGUUCCCCAUCCCGUUUGAAACCCUUUCAGACAAUGGCGAGUAAAUCUUUCAGGCACCUUACUGAUUGCUCUGU
rnacentral:ncRNA from 2 species